AAUAUUGGACAAUGGGCGAAAGCCUGACGCAGCGACGCCGCGUGAGUGAAGAAGGCCUUCGGGUUGUAAAACUCUGUCCUCAGGGAAGAAGAAAGUGACGGUACCUGAGGAGGAAGCCCCGGCUAACUACGUGCCAGCAGCCGCGGUAAUACGUAGGGGGCGAGCGUUGUCCGGAAUUAUUGGGCGUAAAGGGUGCGUAGGCGGCUUUUUAAGUCAGAUGUGAAAGACCACAGCUUAACUGUGGGGUUGCAUUUGAAACUGGAGAGCUUGAGUAUCGGAGAGGGUAGUGGAAUUCCUGGAGUAGCGGUGAAAUGCGUAGAUAUCAGGAGGAACACCAGUGGCGAAGGCGACUACCUGGACGAAAACUGACGCUGAGGCACGAAAGCUAGGGGAGCAAAC
rnacentral:rRNA from 1 species